rnacentral:tRNA from 2 species
GGCUCCGUAGCUCAACUGGAUAGAGCACCCGCCUUCUAAGCGGAUGGUUACAGGUUCGAACCCUGUCGGGGCCGCCA